AUAACAAUACAGGGCUUUCAAAGUCUUGUAAUUGGAAUGAGCACAAUCUAAACCCCUUAGCGAGUAUCCAUUGGAGGGCAAGUCUGGUGCCAGCAGCCGCGGUAAUUCCAGCUCCAAUAGCAUACGUUAAAGUUGUUGCAGUUAAAACGCCCGUAGUCGAAUGUUGGGCCGGAACCGGUGUUGUCCGCCGAAAGGCGUGUAUGGCAUUGGCCGGUCUUUCUUCUGACUGGCGGCCGUCGGUCUGUAAAAGGGUCGACGGUUCCGCUGUCAGGACUUCUCCUUUGAAAAAAUUAGAGUGUUCAAAGCAGGCGUAAGCCUUGAAUACAUUAGCAUGGGAUAGUAAAAUACGACUUGGGUUCUAUUUUAUUGGUUUUAGGGCCGAAGUAAUGAUUAAUAGGGACAGUUGGGGGCAUUAGUAUUCAGUUGUCAGAGGUGAAAUUCUUGGAUUUACUGAAGACUAACUUCUGCGAAAGCAUUUGCCAAGGAUGUUUUCAUUGAUCAAGGACGAAAGUUAGGGGAUCGAAGACGAUUAGAUACCGUCGUAGUCUUAACCAUAAACUAUGCCGACUAGGGAUUGUAGACAGUUGUUUGAUGACUCCUGCAGCACCUUAUGAGAAAUCAAAGUCUUUAGGUUCUGGGGGGAGUAUGGUCGCAAGGCUGAAACUUAAAGGAAUUGACGGAAGGGCACCACCAGGAGUGGAGCCUGCGGCUUAAUUUGACCCAACACGGGAAAACUCACCCGGACCGGACAUAGUAAGGAUUGACAGACUGAUAGCUCUUUCUUGAUUCUAUGGUUGGUGGUGCAUGGUCGUUCUUAGUUCGUGGAGUGAUCUGUCUGGUUAACUCCGAUAACGAGCGAGACCUCCGCCUGCUAACUAGUCCAGCUGAUCCUCGGAUUGGCUGCUGACUUCUUAGAGGGACUGGUUACGUUCAGUAGCCGGAAGUGGAGGCAAUAACAGGUCUGUGAUGCCCUUAGAUGCCCGGGGCUGCACGCGCGCUACACUGACGAUUGCAGCGAGUUUGAUCCUUGGCCGAAAGGUCUUGGUAAUCUUUGCAAUGAUCGUCGUGAUGGGGAUAGAUUAUUGUAAUUAUUAAUCUUCAACGAGGAAUUCCUAGUAAGCGCAAGUCAUCAGCUUGCGUUGAUUACGUCCCUGCCCUUUGUACACACCGCCCGUCGCUCCUACCGACUGAGCGCUCAGGUGAAAAGACCGGACCGCGUCGCGGCUGCUGGUUCGCCAGUACUGCGAUGUGGAAAGUUCUUUGGACCUUAUCGCUU
rnacentral:rRNA from 1 species